AUGGGUUCCCUGGCCCUGUACGUGAUGACACAGUCACCUGUGGUGUCCAUCUCACCAGGACAAACUGCUGAACUGACCUGCACAGGGAGAAAUGUUGGUACCUACGUGAGUUGGUACCACCAGAAACUUGGCAGUGCCCCUGUGCUGUUUAUAUAUGAGAAUACCAAGCGACCCUCCAGCAUCCCUGACCGAUUCUCUGGUGCCAGAUCUGGGAACACGGCCACGUUGUCCAUCACUGGAGUCCAGGCCCAGGACGAGGCUGAUUAUUACUGUUUUGCUUAUGAUAAAGACAGCAGCACUCCUCACAGUGACACAGAGCAAUGGGGAAGUUCUCUUGCUGAGAGCAUGACAACUCGGCCGCCUUCAGUGUCCGUCUCUCCCAGACAAACUGCUACACUCACCUGCACAGCAAAUACCAUUAGUGGUUUCGGAGCAAGUUGGUACCAACAGAAACCUGGGAGUGCCCCCCUGAUUGUUAUGGGCAAUGAUAAUAACAGACCCUCUGGUAUCUCGGAGCGGUUUUCUGGCUCCAAGUCCGAGAACACGGCCACGUUGACCAUCACUGGAGUCCAAGCUUUGGACGAGGCUGAUUAUUACUGCUUUGCUCUUGUUGGUGGCACUACUACUCCACACAAUGACAGUGCAAUGGGGAAGUGA